rnacentral:rRNA from 1 species
GAUGAACGCUAGCUACAGGCUUAACACAUGCAAGUCGAGGGACCGGCGCAGGGGUGAGAAACACGUAUCAAACCUGGCCUUUACUCGGGGAUAGCCUUUCGAAAGAACGAUUAAUACCCGAUAUAAGGGAUGGGGAUGCGUUCCCUUAGGUGGUUGGUGAGGUAACGGCCAACCAAGGCUUCGAUGGUUAGGGGUUCUGAUAGGAAGUUCCCCCACAGUGGAACUGAGGUACGGUCCAAACUCCUACGGGAGGCAGCAGUGAGGAAUAUUGUUCAAUGGGCGUUAGCCUGACCCAGCCAAGUAGCGUAAAGGAUGAAUGCUUUUGGGUCUUAAUCUUCUUUUAUAUAAGAAUAUGUAUUAUAUGAAUAAGGAUCGGCUAACUCCGUGCCAGCAGCCGCGGUAAUUC